CGGGACACGUGGUAUCCUGUCUGAAUAUGGGGGGACCAUCCUCCAAGGCUAAAUACUCCUGACUGACCGAUAGUGAACCAGUACCGUGAGGGAAAGGCGAAAAGAACCCCGGCGAGGGGAGUGAAAAAGAACCUGAAACCGUGUACGUACAAGCAGUGGGAGCACAGAGCAAUCUGUGUGACUGCGUACCUUUUGUAUAAUGGGUCAGCGACUUAUAUUCUGUAGCAAGGUUAACCGAAUAGGGGAGCCGAAGGGAAACCGAGUCUUAACUGGGCGUUAAGUUGCAGGGUAUAGACCCGAAACCCGGUGAUCUAGCCAUGGGCAGGUUGAAGGUUGGGUAACACUAACUGGAGGACCGAACCGACUAAUGUUGAAAAAUUAGCGGAUGACUUGUGGCUGGGGGUGAAAGGCCAAUCAAACCGGGAGAUAGCUGGUUCUCCCCGAAAGCUAUUUAGGUAGCGCCUCGUGAAUUCAUCUCCGGGGGUAGAGCACUGUUUCGGCAAGGGGGUCAUCCCGACUUACCAACCCGAUGCAAACUGCGAAUACCGGAGAAUGUUAUCACGGGAGACACACGGCGGGUGCUAACGUCCGUCGUGAAGAGGGAAACAACCCAGACCGCCAGCUAAGGUCCCAAAGUCAUGGUUAAGUGGGAAACGAUGUGGGAAGGCCCAGACAGCCAGGAUGUUGGCUUAGAAGCAGCCAUCAUUUAAAGAAAGCGUAAUAGCUCACUGGUCGAGUCGGCCUGCGCGGAAGAUGUAACGGGGCUAAACCAUGCACCGAAGCUGCGGCAGCGACACUAUGUGUUGUUGGGUAGGGGAGCGUUCUGUAAGCCUGUGAAGGUGUGCUGUGAGGCAUGCUGGAGGUAUCAGAAGUGCGAAUGCUGACAUAAGUAACGAUAAAGCGGGUGAAAAGCCCGCUCGCCGGAAGACCAAGGGUUCCUGUCCAACGUUAAUCGGGGCAGGGUGAGUCGACCCCUAAGGCGAGGCCGAAAGGCGUAGUCGAUGGGAAACAGGUUAAUAUUCCUGUACUUGGUGUUACUGCGAAGGGGGGACGGAGAAGGCUAUGUUGGCCGGGCGACGGUUGUCCCGGUUUAAGCGUGUAGGCUGGUUUUCCAGGCAAAUCCGGAAAAUCAAGGCUGAGGCGUGAUGACGAGGCACUACGGUGCUGAAGCAACAAAUGCCCUGCUUCCAGGAAAAGCCUCUAAGCAUCAGGUAACAUCAAAUCGUACCCCAAACCGACACAGGUGGUCAGGUAGAGAAUACCAAGGCGCUUGAGAGAACUCGGGUGAAGGAACUAGGCAAAAUGGUGCCGUAACUUCGGGAGAAGGCACGCUGAUAUGUAGGUGAAGCGACUUGCUCGUGGAGCUGAAAUCAGUCGAAGAUACCAGCUGGCUGCAACUGUUUAUUAAAAACACAGCACUGUGCAAACACGAAAGUGGACGUAUACGGUGUGACGCCUGCCCGGUGCCGGAAGGUUAAUUGAUGGGGUCAGCGCAAGCGAAGCUCUUGAUCGAAGCCCCGGUAAACGGCGGCCGUAACUAUAACGGUCCUAAGGUAGCGAAAUUCCUUGUCGGGUAAGUUCCGACCUGCACGAAUGGCGUAAUGAUGGCCAGGCUGUCUCCACCCGAGACUCAGUGAAAUUGAACUCGCUGUGAAGAUGCAGUGUACCCGCGGCAAGACGGAAAGACCCCGUGAACCUUUACUAUAGCUUGACACUGAACAUUGAGCCUUGAUGUGUAGGAUAGGUGGGAGGCUUUGAAGUGUGGACGCCAGUCUGCAUGGAGCCGACCUUGAAAUACCACCCUUUAAUGUUUGAUGUUCUAACGUUGACCCGUAAUCCGGGUUGCGGACAGUGUCUGGUGGGUAGUUUGACUGGGGCGGUCUCCUCCUAAAGAGUAACGGAGGAGCACGAAGGUUGGCUAAUCCUGGUCGGACAUCAGGAGGUUAGUGCAAUGGCAUAAGCCAGCUUGACUGCGAGCGUGACGGCGCGAGCAGGUGCGAAAGCAGGUCAUAGUGAUCCGGUGGUUCUGAAUGGAAGGGCCAUCGCUCAACGGAUAAAAGGUACUCCGGGGAUAACAGGCUGAUACCGCCCAAGAGUUCAUAUCGACGGCGGUGUUUGGCACCUCGAUGUCGGCUCAUCACAUCCUGGGGCUGAAGUAGGUCCCAAGGGUAUGGCUGUUCGCCAUUUAAAGUGGUACGCGAGCUGGGUUUAGAACGUCGUGAGACAGUUCGGUCCCUAUCUGCCGUGGGCGCUGGAGAACUGAGGGGGGCUGCUCCUAGUACGAGAGGACCGGAGUGGACGCAUCACUGGUGUUCGGGUUGUCAUGCCAAUGGCACUGCCCGGUAGCUAAAUGCGGAAGAGAUAAGUGCUGAAAGCAUCUAAGCACGAAACUUGCCCCGAGAUGAGUUCUCCCUGACUCCUUGAGAGUCCUGAAGGAACGUUGAAGACGACGACGUUGAUAGGCCGGGUGUGUAAGCGCAGCGAUGCGUUGAGCUAACCGGUACUAAUGAACCGUGAGGCUUAACCUUACAACGCCGAAGGUGUUU
rnacentral:rRNA from 1 species